UACGGAGGGUGCAAGCGUUAUCCGGAUUCACUGGGUUUAAAGGGCGCGUAGGAGGGCAGGUAAGUCAGUGGUGAAAUCCUAGAGCUUAACUCUAGAACUGCCGUUGAUACUAUCUGUCUUGAAUAUUGUGGAGGUGAGCGGAAUAUGUCAUGUAGCGGUGAAAUGCUUAGAUAUGACAUAGAACACCAAUUGCGAAGGCAGCUCGCUACACAUAUAUUGACUCUGAGGCACGAAAGCGUGGGGAUCAAACAGG
rnacentral:rRNA from 1 species